rnacentral:rRNA from 1 species
CCCUUAGAUGUUCUGGGCCGCACGCGUGCUACACUGACAUGUUCAACAAGCCUCCUAGUUCGACAGGAUUUGGGAAAUCUUUGAACGCAUGUCGUGAUAGGGAUAGAUCAUUGCAAUUAUUGAUCUUGAACGAGGAAUUCCUAGUAAACGCGAGUCAUCAGCUCGCAUUGAUUACGUCCCUGCCCUUUGUACACACCGCCCGUCGCACCUACCGAUUGAAUGUUUCGGUGAAGAUUCCGGAUAGGACUUUUUUGAUUUAUUUCAAUUUUGUCUUAAAAGCUAUCUAAACCUCAACAUUUAGAGGAAGGUGAAGUCGUAACA